rnacentral:misc_RNA from 1 species
UUCUGUUCGCAUUUAAUCCUCUCAAACCCAAAGCCAUAUCAUAUCCCUACAUCCGUACAUAAUUUUGGUAGACCUCAACAACUUAACAGCCACAUGCAUAGCUAGGGUCAUCAAAUUAUGCAGAUUUAAUUCUAUUAAAUUUCACAUUUAUGCGCCAAACUCAUUGAUCCAACCGAUUAAAAUGGAUGCAAUGUUAACAAAAAUAUUUAGACUAUCCAAAUUCACCUUUCAAAAUACUGAAAUAUGUUGUUAAGAUGUCACUUAAACAGGCAAGGAGAAAACAGAACCUACAAAUCAUCUGAAACUCUCAUGCCAUAAUGGCCUGCCAAACUUUGAAGAGUUUUGUCACUCAAGACACCAACUAUCAUCUCAUACUUCUUAAAAUUAGCUUUUAGGUUCUCCACCUGUUGCUUAUGUAGCUUCUCUUCUCUGUCCAGUUGUUGCUUGUGCAAGAAAGAAGCUUCAGCGGCAUGCUUUCGAGUGAGGCGCUUCAGUUUCUUUGCUACCUCAAAAUCAGGGUUACUUGGGUCUAACCAACUGCAACGUACCCUUCUACCAGGCUUCACUGGGCGAUCAUCGAACAUUUCAACUUCAGCAAAACGAGCCCUUACAGGCCUUGGCAUCCCAGCAAUCAAGAAAGGAAAUUCAGUUAUGGAUGAGAUGACUUUUUUGGCUUUCUCAGAGUCUUCCAUCUCUACCAAAGCACAAAGGAUGUUCCUAGGUUCCAAAUAGUUUGGAAUUAAACUCGCGCUCACGACAGUUCCAAACUGAUUUAGAGCUUUUGCUAAGACAGUUUCGGUUACUUGUGGUGAAAGGUUGUCAACAAAAAUUGUCCGCUUCACUUUUUCUUCAAAUGCAGCAUACUUUGCUUCAGCUGUAGACUCCAUGUUAUAGUGCACACUCUAAGUAAAGCCAAAAACAUAGUAAGACAAAGUAUCAAUUAUAGAUUUUUUAAUCCAUAAUUAUAUUUUAUCAUUACGUCUAGCCAAUCAUUACACAUCAUAUCCACUAUGUCAAAUUAAUAACCAGGUGCCAUCGAAACCAAAAACUUGCAUAUUUAACAAUAUUUUAUUAUAAAGCUAAAUGGAUUUACCAAUAUCAAUAUUAACCCAGCUUCAAGAUCUUAAAGUAGACCAUAAGCAAACCAAGAACCACAUCACUGCAGGCUAUCUUGCCAUGAUUUAGACCUAUCCCUUGAUUAAGGUUUAAACAAACAAAUGCAAUUGCACUAUAUUAAACAAGUGAACUUCAAGAAUAUCUAGAUGCUGCUAUAUGCACAGAUAUACUAACAUUUUCAUUAAGUGGACCAAUUUUUUUCCCAAAUUUCAAACCCAUAAACUAAAACCAAGAAAGAAAAAACUGGUUAAAAAAAUCUGAAAGGGCGCAUAAUAGUUGCAGGAAUUCAAACGGGCAUUGCAGUGAUACUAGAAAACAAAAGCCUAAAUAUAGUUACUCACAAGUAAUCACUACCCAAAAGCCAAUGUGUUUUUGUAGCAUUAAUUAUCAAGUUUGAAAAGAUUGCGCACAUAUCAAGAUUAUGAUAAAGCUAAAUGGAUUUACCAAUAUCAAUAUUAACCCAGCUUCAAGAUCUUAAAGUAGACCAUAAGCAAACCAAGAACCACAUCACUGCAGGCUAUCUUGCCAUGAUUUAGACCUAUCCCUUGAUUAAGGUUUAAACAAACAAAUGCAAUUGCACUAUAUUAAACAAGUGAACUUCAAGAAUAUCUAGAUGCUGCUAUAUGCACAGAUAUACUAACAUUUUCAUUAAGUGGACCAAUUUUUUUCCCAAAUUUCAAACCCAUAAACUAAAACCAAGAAAGAAAAAACUGGUUAAAAAAAUCUGAAAGGGCGCAUAAUAGUUGCAGGAAUUCAAACGGGCAUUGCAGUGAUACUAGAAAACAAAAGCCUAAAUAUAGUUACUCACAAGUAAUCACUACCCAAAAGCCAAUGUGUUUUUGUAGCAUUAAUUAUCAAGUUUGAAAAGAUUGCGCACA